UACGUAGGGGGGCAAGCGUUGUCCGGAUUUAUUGGGCGUAAAGAGCGUGUAGGCGGCUUUGCAAGUCCGUUGUGAAAACUCGAGGCUCAACCUCGAGACGCCGGUGGAAACUGCAAAGCUAGAGUCCGGAAGAGGAGAGUGGAAUUCCUGGUGUAGCGGUGAAAUGCGCAGAUAUCAGGGAAGAACACCCGUGGCGAAGGCGGCUCUCUGGGACGGUACUGACGCUGAGACGCGAAAGCGUGGGGAGCGAACAGG
rnacentral:rRNA from 1 species